UAACAAGGAUUCCCCUAGUAACUGCGAGUGAAGCGGGAAAAGCUCAAAUUUAAAAUCUGGUGGUCUUUGGCCGCCCGAGUUGUAGUCUGGAGAAGUGCUUUCCGCGCUGGACCGUGUAUAAGUCUCUUGGAACAGAGCGUCAUAGAGGGUGAGAAUCCCGUCUUUGACACGGACUACCAGUGCUUUGUGAUGCGCUCUCAAAGAGUCGAGUUGUUUGGGAAUGCAGCUCAAAAUGGGUGGUGAAUUCCAUCUAAAGCUAAAUAUUGGCGAGAGACCGAUAGCGAACAAGUACCGUGAGGGAAAGAUGAAAAGCACUUUGGAAAGAGAGUUAAACAGUACGUGAAAUUGCUGAAAGGGAAACGCUUGAAGUCAGUCAUGUUGUGUAGAACUCAGCCUUGCUCUUGCUUGGUGCAUUUUCUAUGUGACAGGCCAGCAUCGAUUUUGACCACUGGAAAAGGGCUGGAGUAAUGUGGCACCUCCGGGUGUGUUAUAGACUCUGGUCGCAUACAGUGGUUGGGAUCGAGGACCGCAGCGCGCCGUAAGGUAGGGGUUCGCCCACACUUUCGCGCUUAGGAUGCUGGCAUAAUGGCUUUAAACGACCCGUCUUGAAACACGGACCAAGGAGUCUAACAUGCCUGCAAGUGUUUGGGUGGAAAACCCGAGCGCGUAAUGAAAGUGAAAGUUGAGACCUCUGUCGCGGAGGGCAUCGACGCCCGGACCUGACGUUCUCUGACGGAUCCGAGGUAGAGCAUGUAUGUUGGGACCCGAAAGAUGGUGAACUAUGCCUGAAUAGGGUGAAGCCAGAGGAAACUCUGGUGGAGGCUCGUAGCGAUUCUGACGUGCAAAUCGAUCGUCAAAUUUGGG
rnacentral:rRNA from 1 species